UAGUCGGUUCCUAAGGCGAGGCUGAAAAGCGUAGUCGAUGGGAAACAGGUUAAUAUUCCUGUACUUCUGGUUACUGCGAUGGAGGGACGGAGAAGGCUAGGCCAGCUUGGCGUUGGUUGUCCAAGUUUAAGGUGGUAGGCUGAAAUCUUAGGUAAAUCCGGGGUUUCAAGGCCGAGAGCUGAUGACGAGUCGUCUUUUAGAUGACGAAGU
rnacentral:rRNA from 1 species